rnacentral:lncRNA from 1 species
CUGUGUCUCUGAAAGGAAUCUAGCCCUGUCCCACCUCUGGAGGUUGUCCUGGUUGUUCCUCCAUCUGGUUUCCUUUUCUUAAUAUGACAUCAUCUUCUCAGGUGUCACUCUCUGGUGAUGAUGCUGGUGCUGAUAGCCAAUGUGCCUGUCGUGCUUUCUGUACACCAUACUCAGUCCUAAGCCUCUUUUGUACAGCUCUGUGAGAUAGAAACUACUCACAGUAUACCCAUUCUACACACUAUCACAAGAACAGCACCAAGAGAGAAAUCUGCCCCCAUGAUCCAAUCACCUCUCACCAGGCCCCACCUCCAACACUGGGGAUUACAAUUGACCAUGAUGUUUGGGUGGGGACACAAAUCCAAACCAUGUCAGAUAUGAUAUAUGAUGUGAUAGAUAAUACAACGCAAUAUACUGUAUUAUGUUAUGCUAUACUGUGUUGUGCAGCACACCCAGGAUUUCUCAAUAGGAGAGGGG